UGUGCACGCGCAUGCAUGCCUGGAGGAGGGAGGAGGCUCUCAUCCUGAUGUCUCUGUCCCAGUUUCUGACUGCUCCAAAAGAAAAACUCUCUCUUCAGGGGCUGCCACAGGCUCUGGGAAGCAGGAGGCCUAGACGAAAUUAGAGGUGAUUUCAGAAAAGAUUCGUGCCCUGGAAACAGCUGAAAACACCCCAAAUGUCCAUAGAGGCUGGAUAUGGGGAAGAUUGAGAAGCUGGGCAUUUGGUCAUUAUGGCACCGACCCCAGGAGCCUGGAGAUGCAGCCCAUCCUAUCAACGCACAUUUAUUAAUAUGUCUAGCAGUAAAGAUUAGAUUUGCUUGCAUGUGACAGAGAACCCUACAUAAUAUUGGCUCAAGCAAGACAGACAUUUAUUUUUUUUAUCAUGUCAAUAAAAGUCUGGUAGGAAGAAAUCUGGCUAUUAAGAAGUCUAAGAGCUCCACAAAGUCAUAGAAGAACUGAACUUCUAUUUUUGUAUUUAAAUGUCUUGCAUGGUGGCACCUGGGUGGCUCAGUGGUUGAGCCCUACAGGGAGCCUGCUUCUCCUAUAGGGAGCCUUCUUCUCCCUCUACCUGUAUCUCUGACUCUCUCUGUGUGUCUC